CCACAUGUAAAAGAUUGAAACUGGACCACUCUCUUAUGCCAUACACAGAAAUUAACGCAAAUGGAUAAAAGACUUUAACAUAAGACCUGAAACCAUAAGAUUCCUAGAUGAAAAC